rnacentral:misc_RNA from 1 species
GAUGAAGAACGUAGCGAAAUGCGAUAAGUAGUGUGAAUUGCAGAAUUCAGUGAAUCAUCGAAUCUUUGAACGCACAUUGCGCCCCUUGGUAUUCCAUGGGGCAUGCCUGUUCGAGCGUCAUUUGUACCUUCAAGCUCUGCUUGGUGUUGGGUGUUUGUCUCGCCUCUGCGUGUAGACUCGCCUUAAAACAAUUGGCAGCCGGCGUAUUGAUUUCGGAGCGCAGUACAUCUCGCGCUUUGCACUCAUAACGACGACGUCCAAAAGUACAUUUUUACACUCUUGACCUCGGAUCAGGUAGGGAUACCCGCUGAACUUAAGCAUAUCAAUAAGCGGAGA